CCUACGGGUGACAGCAGUGGGGAAUAUUGGGCAAUGGGCGCAAGCCUGACCCAGCGACGCCGCGUGAAGGAAGAAGGCUCUCGGGUUUGUAAACUCCUUUGAUGGGGGAGCGUAGUAAACGGUACGUGACGAAUAAGCAACAGCUAACUACGUGCCAGCAGCCGCGGUCAUACGUAGGGGGGAAGCGAUGGCCGGAUGUACUGGGUGUAAAGGGCGUGUAGCCGGGUUGACAAGUCAGAUGUGAAAUCCCGGGGCUUAACCGCAGAACUGCAUUUGAAACUGGUGAUCUUGAGUACUGGAGAGGCAGACGGAAUUCCUGGUGUAGCGGUGAAAUGCGUAGAUAUUAGGAGGAACACCAGUGGCGAAGGCGGUCUGCUGGACAGCAACUGACGGUGAGGCGCGAAGGCGAGGGGAGCGAACAGGAUUAGAUACCCGUGUAGUC
rnacentral:rRNA from 1 species